GACGAACGCUGGCGGCGUGCUUAACACAUGCGAGUCGAACGGAAAGGCCCUGCUUUUGUGGGGUGCUCGAGUGGCGAACGGGUGAGUAACACGUGAGUAACCUGCCCUUGACUUUGGGAUAACUUCAGGAAACUGGGGCUAAUACCGGAUAGGAGCUCCUGCUGCAUGGUGGGGGUUGGAAAGUUUCGGCGGUUGGGGAUGGACUCGCGGCUUAUCAGCUUGUUGGUGGGGCAGUGGCUUACCAAGGCUUUGACGGGUAGCCGGCCUGAGAGGGUGACCGGCCACAUUGGGACUGAGAUACGGCCCAGACUCCUACGGGAGGCAGCAGUGGGGAAUAUUGCACAAUGGGCGGAAGCCUGAUGCAGCAACGCCGCGUGCGGGAUGACGGCCUUCGGGUUGUAAACCGCUUUCGCCUGUGACGAAGCGUGAGUGACGGUAAUGGGUAAAGAAGCACCGGCUAACUACGUG
rnacentral:rRNA from 1 species